rnacentral:rRNA from 1 species
GUGGGGAGCAAACAGGAUUAGAUACCCUGGUAGUCCAUGCCGUAAACGAUGAGUGCUAAGUGUUGGAGGGUUUUCCGCCCUUCAGUGCUGCAGCUAACGCAUUAAGCACUCCGCCUGGGGAGUACGACCGCAAGGUUGAAACUCAAAGGAAUUGACGGGGGCCCGCACAAGCGGUGGAGCAUGUGGUUUAAUUCGAUGCUACGCGAAGAACCUUACCAGGUCUUGACAUCUUAUGCCAACCUAAGAGAUUAGGCGUUCCCUUCGGGGACAGAAUGACAGGUGGUGCAUGGUUGUCGUCAGCUCGUGUCGUGAGAUGUUGGGUUAAGUCCCGCAACGAGCGCAACCCUUAUUGUUAGUUGCCAGCAUUCAGUUGGGCACUCUAGCAAGACUGCCGGUGACAAACCGGAGGAAGGUGGGGAUGACGUCAAGUCAUCAUGCCCCUUAUGACCUGGGCUACACACGUGCUACAAUGGGCAGUACAACGAGGAGCGAACUUGUGAAGGCAAGCGAAUCUCUGAAAGCUGUUCUCAGUUCGGACUGUAGGCUGCAACUCGCCUACACGAAGCUGGAAUCGCUAGUAAUCGCGGAUCAGCACGCCGCGGUGAAUACGUUCCCGGGCCUUGUACACACCGCCCGUCACACCAUGAGAGUUUGUAACACCCAAAGCCGGCCGGAUAACCUAGUUUACUAGGAGUCAGCCGUCUAAGGUGGGACAAAUGAUUAGGGUGAAGUCGUAACAA